AAGUGCGGAAGUCCAAGGACUGAGAUCCAAAAAGCUAAUAUCCAGGGAACCUAGUUCAUUAUGUAUUUAUUUCACAAAUGUUGAAUAUCUCCCAAGUACCAGAAAUAUGAUAUCAAGAAGUGGAGACUCUUUCCCCACACUUUGAUUCUAGGCUGGUGUUAUGACUUGCUUUGACCAAUAGAAUGUAGUGCAAGUCACAAUGUGCUCAUUCUGGGCCUAAGCCUAGAGAGGCCUGGCAUGCUUCCAUUCUGUCUCUUAGGGUCCUGCCACCACCACAUAUGUUAGCCUGCUGGAGGACGACAGCCAGCCAACCUCCAGACAUAAUCAAGAAGAUUGAGACUUGACCAGAACCUGAACAUCAGAACUCUUUAAGAAAUGACAAAAAAGGGGGGUAAGAUAACCCCAGAGAACUGAAAGAGGAUCCUUUGAAAAAUCCACAGGAGCAUGUUUCAUAGCUAAUGGAUAUCUACAAUCAAAAGACUUGUGAUUUAAGUAUCAAGAUAAACAACUAUCACAACAUUUAAAACACUCACUAUAUUUCCUUUCCAGCUUUUUAACUAUAAAAUCAAUGGCAUGUUAAUGACUCAAGCAUUAGCUUGCUCACUAGGAAUUCCAGAACUUCUAUUUUUGAAGCAUAAAUUCCUAAGUUGCUCAAUUUACCCAGUUUGUCAGAACAAUUGCCAUUAGUAAAUAUAAAUAUUUAAUGAAAAUGAAAACUGUCAUAAGCCGCUUCUCUUAAGCAUCUAAUGACUUACUGGAAGAAAUAAAAAAUAUUAGUGAAUUAUGUCAUUUACUAGUUUCCAUCAUAUAGCAAUCACCUGCAGAUGUAUUUGCUUAUUGUACCUUGCUGUGUUUUGGAGUGGGUUUUUGUUGUAAUAUAUUUAUUGGGUUGUGGGUUUUUGCUUGCUUAUUGGGUAACAAAGAAGUAUCAAUGAUAUACAGGGUGUUUCCUAGAUAUUAACCACGUGCAAAAUUUUUUUAAGUUUUCUCAAAACCUUCA
rnacentral:lncRNA from 1 species